rnacentral:misc_RNA from 1 species
GGGGGUAAUAACAAAAAAUCCAUAAAUAAAUAAAUCUACCACAAAAAAAUAAAAAAUCAUAGAUCAAUGAAUCUACACAGGACAUCAUUCAGAAAUGAAAUAUAGGAUCCACUUCUCUUGGCAGUUGAAGUGGUUGGAUGCUCAGAAAAAAUGGGUGAACAGACGCAAUUAGGUUAGGCAAUCUGCUUUCCUUUCCGGAGUUUCUCUAAUUCUUCUUCAGCAUCUGUCAAUUGCUGCUUUAGGGUAUCUAUCUUUUGUUCCAACGCUUCCACUGUCCCUCUACUGGUGGAAGGUUGAUAAUGUGUCAGAAAAUGACUUGAGAAAGCUUUCAGAGCUUCAACCCCAGUAACCUCUUCUGGCAACAAUGGCAACUUGGUGAUAUUAAAGUCAUCAUACAACAUGUAGAACUGAUCCAUGUACUUUUGUUGCAUCCGCAUUCUUGCUU